AACGAAUGCUGGCGGCAUGCCUAACACAUGCAAGUCGAACGAGACCUUCGGGUCUAGUGGCGCACGGGUGCGUAACGCGUGGGAACUUGCCCUUAGGUUCGGAAUAACUCCCCGAAAGGGGUGCUAAUACCGGAUAAUGUCUUCGGACCAAAGAUUUAUCGCCUUUGGAUGGGCCCGCGUUGGAUUAGCUAGUUGGUAGGGUAAAAGCCUACCAAGGCGACGAUCCAUAGCUGGUCUGAGAGGAUGAUCAGCCACACUGGGACUGAGACACGGCCCAGACUCCUACGGGAGGCAGCAGUGGGGAAUAUUGGACAAUGGGCGAAAGCCUGAUCCAGCAAUGCCGCGUGAGUGAUGAAGGCCUUAGGGUUGUAAAGCUCUUUUACCCGGGAUGAUAAUGACAGUACCGGGAGAAUAAGCUCCGGCUAACUCCGUG
rnacentral:rRNA from 1 species